GGUGGGAUGGCGGAGCGGCUACGCGCGUGCCUGCAGAGCACGUCCACGGGGGUUCAAGUCCCUCUCCCACCU
rnacentral:tRNA from 1 species